AGCCAACAGAUGUGUAUGCACGACUACCGAGGGGAGAAAUGGUGAAUGAAUGAAUACACACACACAUACAUACAUGCAUUUGUGUAUGCAAACAGCAAGCAAGCAAGCUGACGAACUGUCAGACCAAACUGACUGCUUGACUGCCUAGUUCAAUCAGCAGCGACAGCCAAGCAUUUCUACAUAUGAGUACCUACGCAGCUCAGCACCAAGCCGAACACAUUGAUAUGUGUAUUCGUAUGUUUGUAUGUGUGUGGCAGAUACAUUUUGUGUAUGCCGCCGUACACAGGCAGUUUAGCUGCUUGUAUCUUGUAUCUUACAAUCGGCAUUGUUGUUAAAACUGCCACCACCACCAGCCGCCAGCCGCCAGCCAACAGCGCCACCAGAGCCACAGCCGUAGUCAGAGCCAACAGCGCCGAGUAGUGACUUUACGCAUUUUCUACAUUUUGCCUGCAAGAACACAUAACGACCUACACACGUACACACACAUACAUACGUGCGGGCACAUACGAGUGCCCAGAACUCACAUAAUUUCCAUCGAAAAACACGCAUUUGCGCUCGAAAUGGCUGCGAAAUGGAACGAGUAGAUUUAUCGAUGUUCGGAUGGAUGGAUGGAUGACCGGACAAAUGGAUGGCUGCAUGAUUGCACGGCGGCGCACAUGAGCACACACAAACAUAUAGCAUGCAAGCAGCGCAGAUAAGUGAAUACAAAUAUGUAUGUUUGUCGGUAGCUAAGCAGCCAGACGAAAUUACAAGUGGGCGGAUAGCUGAAGACGAAGGCGAAGAAGACCUUUCCAUAUGACAAAGACUCCAACGCAUACCACAGAGACGCGUUAGCAGUGAAAAGCAUAACCACAUCUAUAUACAUAUGUAUGCAUGUGUGUGUGUGGUGGUGUAAACCGAAAAGUGUUACCUCUGCAGAGUUAGUCCAACUGACAAUUGUUGUAAUUCACAGAAAGUUAGCUCAACCAUUCGGUAGAUAGGCUGUUUGCUUUGAAAGCGCUUAUUAGCGAAAGGGGGUUCCCUACCGAUCCAAACCUACAGGCAGCCGUACUGGUUUCCUUCAUAGCGUAAUGAUUCCUGCUUAAGAAAUCGCUUAGCACCGAACAUUUACAACCACUUAGUAGUUGGCUGAAGUAGCACCUGGAAAUGCUGGAAAGUUUAAUAGUAGCGGAAAAUUAAGUCAUCGUAUUUACUUGUAAUGUCUCAGCUGUAAAAUGAGUUGCUGGUUAAAAAAUAAACAAUUCGGUCAUACACUUUAUUUUGUUGCUGUCGCAAUCAUUCUCAGUAGGGGAGCAGAUUGCGGUGUUUGUAGUACUACUGCCAAGCUAGUUCUACGAGUGCCACAGUCCAUAAAGACUCGGACCAUGAAAGCCACGUGAGUAUAAAUGCAGAAAAAGAACUUCUAGGCUCUUCUGAGAAGGUGACCGAGGGCUGCAAGUCUGGCAACAAGUGACGGCAAAAGCGUAGUACAAGACGGCGGUCAAGAUAUGCAAUCGACUGAGGUCAUAAGUCCAACCGGAAGGAAGAGGGGGUGACACCCGGCCGGGCACAGUUCGCUACUCGUUACUAGUGCAAUGCCUCGGAUCCAACGUUUGCGAAUCGCAUUGAGGAGCAUAUCACUGAAAAGAGACAGCGUUCGACGGAGAGCGAACCGAACAUGCAGAUUUUUUCCGUUGCUUUUUAUUUACGGUUUUCAAUAGAUCAUUCCUGAGUAGUAAGUUCGAAUAUAACAAGGAAAAAAAUAUUACUAUAUGUAAAGAACACUGAAAAUAGUUAGACAUAUUUUAGGAAAGAGUUGCUAACUUUCGAAAAAAAUAAAAAAUAAGAAAUAUAUUAAAAAAUGUGUACUAAUAAUUGAGUGUUUAAGAGAGCAUUCCUUUUAAAAUCUAUAAUUUAGACAUAUGUGCAUAUUUUGGUAUAGAGAAGAUACUCAAAAUGUGUACCAAACGGUUAUAAUUAAGCAUUCGAAAGAAAAUUUUCUUAAAUUAGAAAUAUUUUGGAACAGGGUUGCCACUUAAUGGAGCUAUAAAAAAUUAAAAAAAUAACCAAAUCAAUGCCAAAUAUAAGGCACAGAAAAUUUUUGUAUAAUAUAUAUUUUUUUAAUUAUUUUGGAACAGAGUUGACACCUAUCUAAAAAAGUAAAACUGAGAAAUGUGUGCUUAAAGUGUUUAUAAAGCAUUUUAGUGAA